rnacentral:rRNA from 1 species
UUGGUGACCUGCCUCGAAGUUUGGGAUUAACAAGUUCGAAAGGACUGCUAAUACCGGAUGUGAUCGCGGAGAUUAGAGGCUCUGUUGAUUAAAGGAGAAAUUCGCUUCGAGAGGGGCCUGCGUCCCAUCAGCUAGUUGGUAAGGUAAAGGCUUACCAAGGCGAUGACGGGUAGGGGACCUGAGAGGGUGGCCCCCCACAAUGGAACUGAAACACGGUCCAUACACCUACGGGUGGCAGCAGUAGGGAAUAUUGCAUAAUGGGCGAAAGCCUGAUGCAGCAACGCGCGUGUGCGAUGAAGGCCUUCGGGUCGUAAAGCACUUUUGGAGGGGAUGAGGAAGGACAGUACCCUUCGAAUAAGCUUCGGCUAACUACGUG